UUUAUAUUAUGUACAACGUGGUUAGCAUCCUUUAUAUUCAUAUUCCAAUGUCCUAAUAAUAUGGAAACAUGUUUACAUUAGACAGUUUUUAAUUUACAGAGAGUAGGGUGGCAUUAGUUCAAAUAACUUUCAAAAUGUUUUGGUAAUCGAUACAACUCUCCAACUAAGAGACAAAGAAGUUAACAGUCCCAGUCCCCUUACAGCCUUCAACAACGAGCAAAAUUUAUACUGUAUUGUAUAUAAGCAAUUCAAGGCCUUAUGAUGCUUAUUUUCCCAUUUCCUGCUAUUUUUGUAAUUUUUCCAUUCUUUUUUCUAGAUCUUUAACUUUUUUACCCCUAUAUUUCACUUACCCACAUUUCUGUACCCCUAUAUCCCACAUCCCCAUAUAUUUCCCCUCUCUAUCCCAAAUCCUAAAAGGCA
rnacentral:lncRNA from 1 species